rnacentral:rRNA from 1 species
UACGGGGGGAGCAAGCGUUGUUCGGAUUUACUGGGCGUAAAGGGCGCGUAGGCGGCGCAUCAAGUCAGGCGUGAAAGCCCCGGGCUCAACCUGGGAACCGCGCUUGAGACUGGUGGGCUCGAGUUCGGGAGAGGAUGGUGGAAUUCCCAGUGUAGAGGUGAAAUUCGUAGAUAUUGGGAAGAACACCGAUGGCGAAGGCAGCCAUCUGGACCGACACUGACGCUGAGGCGCGAAAGCGUGGGGAGCAAACAGG